UACAGAGGGGGCAAGCGUUGUUCGGAAUUACUGGGCGUAAAGGGCGCGUAGGCGGUCAGCACAAGUCGGUUGUGAAAUCUCCGAGCUUAACUCGGAAAGGUCAACCGAAACUGUGCGACUAGAGUGCAGAAGGGGCAACUGGAAUUCUCGGUGUAGCGGUGAAAUGCGUAGAUAUCAGGAGGAACACCGGUGGCGAAGGCGCACAUCUGGCCCAAUACUGACGCUGAGGCGCGAAAGCUAGGGGAGCAAACGGG
rnacentral:rRNA from 1 species